rnacentral:rRNA from 1 species
UACGUAGGUGGCAAGCGUUGUCCGGAUUUACUGGGCGUAAAGAGCGCGCAGGCGGUCGAAUAAGUCGAAUGUGAAAGCCCCCGGCUCAACUGGGGAGGGUCAUUCGAUACUGCUCGACUCGAAGGCAGGAGAGGGAAGCGGAAUUCCCGGUGUAGUGGUGAAAUGCGUAGAUAUCGGGAGGAACACCAGUGGCGAAGGCGGCUUUCUGGCCUGUUCUUGACGCUGAGGCGCGAAAGCGUGGGGAGCGAACAGG